UACGUAGGGUGCGAGCGUUGUCCGGAAUUACUGGGCGUAAAGAGCUCGUAGGUGGUUUGUCGCGUUGUUCGUGAAAACUCACAACUCAAUUGUGGGCGUGCGGGCGAUACGGGCAGACUGGAGUACUGCAGGGGAGACUGGAAUUCCUGGUGUAGCGGUGAAAUGCGCAGAUAUCAGGAGGAACACCGGUGGCGAAGGCGGGUCUCUGGGCCGAUACUGACGCUGAGGCGCGAAAGCGUGGGGAGCAAACAGG
rnacentral:rRNA from 1 species